AAUUCAAAAUUCUAAUUUCUCGUUAGUUUAAAAUUUUAAUUUUAAUAUUAUUUUUGAAUUUAAAUUUAAAAUUUUGAAUUUUUAUUUUUAGGGACUAAAAUGAAAAAUGUGCAAAGUUUAGGGAUCUAAAUUGAAAUGCAAAAGGUUGCCAAAUAGAUGCUAACGUCGCAAUUCCGUUAAUUUUAAUAGUUUUUUUAACGGUUGGGACUUAAUUGUAAAAAAUCAAGAGGUUAGGGACUCUUGCAAAAAAUAAAGGUUGGGGACUCAAGUAAAAAUUGGUGCGAAGGUUGGGGACUACCGGUGUAACUAACCCUAUUUUUUAGGGGUAUUUUAAAGAAAUAUAUAAAUUAUUCUUGAGUCGGAUUCGAGGUGGAUUAUGGCAGGGCGGAUUCGGGCGGAUAAAAAAUUUUCUGUUUCUUGCCCCGAAUCCGCCUUGGAUCAUAAAAAUUGUCCCGUUUCCUGCCCCAAAUCCAUUUAUUUCCUCAUGUUUACUGCCCAUUUGGGGCAAAUCGAAACAAGAGCUCCACCAACCCGGAUCCAUUUGCAUCCCUAAUUAGCUCCUGAUCGUGUUCAACACUGUAGCUUGAUUAGAAAUCAAAUACAUUUGAAAAGUAAAAGACAUUAAUAACAAAGAAUAGAUAGGAAAAAAUUAAUCUGCAGCACAUCACAACAAUUAACAAGUAAACACAACAAUGUAAAAUCCAUUACUAUAUAACACAUUGUCCAAAUAAAAACACAUUACAACACAACAAUUUAAAAUGCAUUUUAAAAUUAAAAAAUUAACAACAAAGAGUAGGCAGAAAGAAACAAAUAUACAGCAAAUCGCAACAUAAUAAUUCAAAAUCCAUCAAAAUUUAACACAUUGCCUAAAUAAAAGUUACAACACAAUAAAAUGUAACACAUUCUAAUUUAACACAAUAAAAAUUAGGAUUUAAUGUCUUGCACAAUAUAUUGAACUAUGUGUGCUCAACCUUCGUAAAUAAAUAUUCAUGAACUAUAAUCAUCUUUGCCAUUAUUUUUCAAAUUUUACAGGUGUCAUAAUAUGCAGUAGGGCUAACGUAGACAUGUGGAAAUUCUACCUUAUUAUCUAGAGCUUCACUUGGUUGUAUAAUUGAUUAAAACUUAAUCUGUAUGCCCAUUUUUCAAGUACAAACACUCAUUCAUAUGCCCUUUUAGUUGUGUGGUGGUGCCCAUCUUUUGGUUUUGAAUACUUCUUUUUAUAACAUUUGCAACUGAUCUUUUUCACUAAGACUUUUUGCUCAAGAACUUCUAUUUCUUCAAAACAUCCCCAAACCUCGGAAAAAAAAAUAUGAUUUCUCUUUCCUUCUAGUUCAUUUACACUCUGAUCUUUUUCACUAAGGCUUUUUGCUCAAGAACUUCUUGUAAGGACUGAGAAUUUGGCAGUGUAGCUAAACUCUCUGUUGAUUUUGUGUAUAUUUUAAUUACAAAAGCACUCGUCAGGUUUCGGAAAAAAACAAGUUAGAAUGGAGAUUUUAUGCGAUCUUUACUUUUCACUUAAAGUGAAU
rnacentral:lncRNA from 1 species